rnacentral:lncRNA from 1 species
CACAACUGUUAAGAAAGGAAAGCUUCCACAAGGUGAUACUGUACCAUCACUCUUCAGGCAAGUAACAUCUUAAGGUACUUGACUAUCACUUCUAUAAGCUUCUCCUUGGUUCUGGCGUUCAUAUAAAUAAAAGAGACAAACGUGUAUGAUUUACAACUCUAGAUUAACCAACCUAACUGAUUCAACAUGUUCAGUCCUUUAAUCCUUGUUCUUAGUACUACCUCCAUGAUCACACACUCCUAAUCAUAUGAGCUAAAAUGUUACACAUUCAAUCAUUGAGAGAUAUAAAGAAAAAGAUAUAUACAUAGAUAGAUUAUCUUUCCAUAAGGUUGAGCAAUCUGAUCUGACAAAUGUUAUAAGUGCUACACUCAUGAACUUUUCAUCCAUCAACUUUGUCUUGCUCACUAUGCUUAGUGUUAGAGAAGAACAAAUACACUUUAGGUUCUGUUGGUGUUUUCCACCAACAGGACCCAUGCACUUGAUCUCUGCCGUGUCUCUAUGAGCAGGUACACUUCGAGCAAAACACAGAGGGAGUUUUAUAACUCUCAGACUCUACCAAGUAAAGGACCUGGAUCUACGAGCACAAACACACUGAGCAGGAUACUGCCAACGCCGCACUUCAAACUGCUGGGCAAACGAAGAGGUGCAGACGUCAAGGUCCGCACCUGAAUCAAAUGACGCACCUAAAGAAUGAACACGGUAAGAAGUAUUGUUAAGAAGACUUAAAACAUUGAACCCUCACCGAAAGGUAAGAUCGGUAGUUAUCCAUAUUUAUCCAUAUUUAUCGGGAGUAAUAUUUAUUGAGGAAGCUCAACAUGAUGAAGGCUAGAUAUUUAUGCUAACACUUAAUUAGUUCCACAAGCUUUGUUGUCUAUUUGAGCUCCACAGAAUUUAAGAAUCAAGAAGACUAGCAGACGGAGGACAUUCUAAUCGCUGUCAAAAUGCUGCUGACUUCCAAAUACACCUCUGCCACCUGCUAGCUACAUCAAGAGAAAUUACGUCAAAAUUCAGCUUAGGGGAGAGCACCCCCAUUUAUCUCGCUAAGUAUUUCUACCUAUCUUUAUACUUAUAUUAUAUUAGAAUAUUAAAAUACAUAAACUAUGAAAAACUAAAUAAAGCUUUUGUGCUUAUAUAUAUAUCUUUUUCUUAAUGUGUUUAAUAAAUAAAUAAAGUGGCUAUGCUAAUUUGAAUCUUAAUAAUAAAACUCUAGCAUGGAUAUGAUGAAUAGUUGCUCUGCCUAUUUUGCAAAUUUGAAGUUCUCUCUCAAGUUUAGACAUAACUGUUGUAAUUUAAAGCUUGCUCUAGAUCUAAACUUGUGGGAUGAAAACUUGAUCUGAAAUCUAAGUUGUUAACGGAUAUGAUAUGGGAAGCUUGAGCUGCUGUUUAUCUGUUCCUAGAGAUGCUAGAAUUCUAGAGAAUUUUAUCUUUAAAAAUCAUUAAAAUAUUGCAUGAUGAGUUUCUGUAUGAUGAGAGUUUAAAUUCCUACCACAGCCAUACAUACAUGCUUGCUAGACUUUGAGCCACACAUUUAUGAUUUACUGCUUAUGAGCAUUGAGUGUGGUCAAGCUGUGUAGACCCUUAGGAGCUUGUCAUGUGGUUAAAUCAAGAUUCACUUGCACGUUCACUCAUAUAUGCUACUUCUACUCCGGAAGUACCAUACACAUAUAUCCAUCCAUGUCUAUCUCCAAAACCACCCAAAAAUAUUCUACUCCUAAUCCGGGAGAGAAUAGCCAAAAAUAUUUCUGUUUUCCCUUGUGAAAUAAAUGAUCAAGUUAUCUUGCUACUACCACUUGCUAUAUUAUCUCAAGAUAUGAGUGCUCUGGAAAAAAAGAAAAGAGAAGAAAAGAAAAAAAAUAAAUAAACAAAUGAGGAAAUAAAAAGGGGCAAGUGCCCGGAACCUCGAAAGAAAAGAAAAAAGAGUGAGACGAGAGGUAAAAAUGGACAAGUGUCCGACAAUAGAAUUAGGGGUACAGGAUACCCACCUGAGAGGAAAGAAAAAUGAAAGAUAGAGCAUCUCAUUCUCCUCAUAAAGUUUCAAAAAGCAAGGAAGGUAUGUAUCCCCUCAAAAGAGCAAAAGUAGAAUUAGACUUCCACCAUUGUUAUCACCAUCAUCACCAUACACCAUUCAUUCGCCACACAUGCACAUCUUGAUUUGACUUAUUGACUUGUUUCUCUGGAUCCAUGGUUUGACUAUGCAAUAAAUGUCUUAUAAGUAUGUACUAGCUGUCUCCCACCUAUGAGCUCCAGAUAUUAAAGCCUUAUUAGAGUAGGGUGAGAGAGAAGGCAAUGUCACUAUUCCUUAUACCACAAAUACCACAUAUAUUGAGAGAAGGCAUAUACCAUCACUGCCUUGGUAAGGAUCCAGAAAUACCACAAAAGAGAGAUUUAGAGAGUCAUACAAAGAAUCUCUGAGUUUUAUUUGAAAAUCUGCAAAAACUCCAGAGCUAUAGCUGAUCAAGAAUAAGAGACAUGGCACUUAGCUAGACUGUUCUAUCUUUUAACUACUCAAGACAGAAGUGACGGUUACAAGUCCGAUGGUGAAAGGUAAAGUAAGCAAGUUUUAGUUCUUGACAGUUUACUCUAACUCAGAGAUGAGAUCUUAUUUAAAAGCAUGUGUACCGUCAAAUUUUUAAGAUACUGCAACAACUUCUGAUCCAUUGCUGAGUCUAUCCUUGCUCAGGGACGAGCAAGAGGUAAGCUUGGGGGAGUUUGUUGAUGGUCCUUAAGUAUCAAAUUUAAUUAUCAAAUAAACAAAGAAAAGGAUCCAAAUGAAAUCAACAUCUAGACUUAGGGUUUUAUCUGACAGAAUUCCACGAGUUUUGGUGUUUGUCUAUUUCUGCAGGG